rnacentral:rRNA from 1 species
GACGAACGCUGGCGGCGUGCUUAACACAUGCAAGUCGAACGGAAAGGCCCUGCUUGCAGGGUACUCGAGUGGCGAACGGGUGAGUAACACGUGGGUGAUCUGCCCUGCACUUCGGGAUAAGCCUGGGAAACUGGGUCUAAUACCGGAUAUGACCUUCCAUGUAGUGUGGGGGGUGGAAAGAUUUAUCGGUGUGGGAUGAGCCCGCGGCCUAUCAGCUUGUUGGUGGGGUAAUGGCCUACCAAGGCGUCGACGGGUAGCCGGCCUGAGAGGGUGGACGGCCACAUUGGGACUGAGAUACCGCCCAGACUCCUACGGGAGGCAGCAGUGGGGAAUAUUGCACAAUGGGCGGAAGCCUUAUGCAGCGACGCCGCGUGGGGGAUGACGGCCUUCGGGUUGUAAACCUCUUUCGACAGGGACGAAGCUUCGGUGACGGUACCUGUAUAAGAAGCACCGGCUAACUACGUG